UUACCUCCACCAAUAUCUAUGAAGGGUGUCCGGAGUUUCUUCGGACACGCGAGUUUCUAUAGACGCUUUAUUAAAGAUUUUUCAAAAAUUGCUACUCUAUUGUGCAGGUUGCUUGAAAAGGAUGUGACUUUCAAAUUUGAUGAAGCCUGCCUGAAGGAAUUCGAGGAGCUCAAAGAGAAGUUGGUGGGUGCCCCCAUUAUUGUGGCACCGGAUUUGUCCUUACCAUUUGAACUAAUGUGCGAUGCAAGUGACCAUGCUAUGGAGGCAGUGCUAGGCUAGAGGAAAGACAAGAUGCUUUACUCCAUAUACAAUGUGAGUAAGACUCUUGAUGAUGCACAACUAAAUUACACCACCACUGAAAAGGAGUUUUUGGCAGUUGUGUGGGCCUUUGAGAAAUUUCGGGCUUGCUUGGUGGGAACAAAAGUUAUAGUUUAUACCGAUCAUGCAGCGAUCAGGUAUCUAUUUACAAAAAAAGAAUCCAAUGCUAGAUUAAUGCGCUGGGUUUUAUAGUUGCAGGAAUUUGUUGUAGAAAUAUGAGAUCGGAAGGGCACAAAAAACCAAGUGCCUGACCAUCUGUCAAGGCUAGAAAAUCAUGAGCACGCGGAAGAAUGCGGACAAAUUAAGGAGACAUUUCCUGAUGAGCAACCUUUUGCCAUCACCCAUGACCCCGCCCUAUAGUACGCGAACAAUGUGAAUUAUAUUAUGAGUGGGGUACUUCCUCCUAAAAUUCAAUCUGAGGCUAGGAAGAGGUUUCUUCAUGAUGUGAACCUCUACUACUGGGAUGAGUCAUUCUUGUACAGACAAUGUGCUAAUCAGUUGAUGAGGAGAUGCAUUCCUAAAAAGGAGGUGGAAUUAGUGUUGUAUGAUUGCCACGCCUUGCCUUAUGGGGGGCAUCAUGGAGGCGAUAGGACAUAUGCAAAGGUGUUACAGUCUGGGUUCUAUUGUCCAACAUUGUUCAAGGAUGCACAUGCAUUUGUUAAGAAGUGUGACCAGUGUCAGAGAACAGGAACAAUCACGAAGAGGCAUGAUAUGCCUUUGAAUAAUAUCCUGGAGGUAGAGAUUUUUUAUGUGUGGGGGAUAGACUUCAUGGUAUCAUUCCCAUUAUCUAGAAGAAACAAAUACAUCUUGCAAGUUGUUGAUUACGUGUCAAAAUGGGUAGAGGCAGUCGCAUUGCCAACCAAUGAUGCCAUAGUGGUAGCCACUUUUGUGAAGAAAAACAUAUUCUCGAGAUUUGGGACUCCACGUGACUUGAUUAGUGUUCUACAAUCGGUUGUUGAAUAACCUUCUAGCAAAAUAUGGAGUCCGCCAUAGAGUUUCCACGGCAUAUCAUCCGCAAACAAGUGGACAAGUUGAAGUGUCAAACAGAGAAAUAAAGCAGAUAUUAGAGAAGACAGUGAGUGUGAACAGGAAAGAUUGGGUUGCAAAGCUAGAUGAUGCCUUGUGGACACAUAGAACUGCAUACAAAACAGCAAUUGGGGCAUCCCCGUAUAAGCUUGUUUAUGGGAAGGCAUGUAACUUACCGGUUGAACUUGAACAUAAGCCGUAUUGGGCAGUUAAGAAGUUGAAUAUGGACUUUAAAGGCACAGGCGAGAAAAGUCACUUGCAGUUGAAUUAGUUAGAUGAGUUAAGGCUGCACUCCUAUGAAAAUGCUAAGCUUUACAAACAGAAAACAAAAAGAUGGCAUGAUAAGCGUAUCAAGCCGCGACAUUUUGAACCGGGCCAAAAGGUACUAUUGUUCAAUUCUAGGCUUAAGCUAUUUCCUGGAAAGUUAAAAUCGUGGUGCUCAGGUCUAUUUACGAUGGUGAGAGUCACUCCUUAUGGUGCUAUUGAGCUGAGUGCUUUAAACAGUGAAAGAAUUUUUUUGGUGAAUGGGAAAAGAGUCAAGCACUAUUAGGGAUGUGUCAUUGAUAGUUAGAAGUUUAAAGUAAUACUCGUUGAUGAGUAAGCGAGGCCAUGUGUCAUGCCGUGACGAUAAUCAGAAGCUUGUUGGGAGGCAACCCAAUGUUUAUUGCUUUCAUAGUUUAGUUUUUUUUCUUUUUAGUUAGAGUAGAUUAGAGUUUUUCUUGUUUUCUUUGUAGUCAAAGAAAUCAUAGGUAGAAUGAUGUGGGAUGUGUAAAAUGGAUAUAUUAAGUGCUCGGAGGAAUCAGGGUUUUAUUCAAUAUANNNNNNNNNNNNNNNNNNNNNNNNNNNNNNNNNNNNNNNNNNNNNNNNNNNNNNNNNNNNNNNNNNNNNNNNNNNNNNNNNNNNNNNNNNNNNNNNNNNNNNNNNNNNNNNNNNNNNNNNNNNNNNNNNNNNNNNNNNNNNNNNNNNNNNNNAAUUCUAACCCCUAAAACCUACCCUCCUCUCUCUCACAUGCUACUCUCUCUCUCUCCCCCCCGUUAUUUCUCACUCUGUCUCUCUCUCCAUGUUACUCCCUCUCUUCCCAAGUCUUCUUUCUCUCACAAAAACAACAAGUAUGUUCUCCCCUUCUGCCUCUUCUGUUAUGUUGUAUUUUGAAAAAGUUUCUUCCACAUCCCCCAUCCCAAAUGACCACAACCCCAACUCCCCCAUAUUUGUUUCUUAGAACUUAUUUUCUAUGGUGGGUGGCCAUUAUGUGCAACGAAAUGGGUUGCUAAAAUUGGUUGUGAAGUUGUAUGCAUAGUAGUAAACUACAAUUUCCUCUACUUCGUUUAAAAUUUGGGAGGGCCGCCAUGUUACACCAUUGUUGAAUUGAGUUGCACAUACUUGAUGCCCACCAUGUGGUUGAUAAAAUGCUUGAAAGAGUAAAUUAUGCACCAGUGAAAUUUGAGUAGCCAAGUGUAGUUGUAUGUGAUGUGGGGUUAAGUGUGGGAUGUUUGGGGGUUAUUUUACAUAACCCGAAGCUUGUCAUUAAUGUUCACAUACCAUAACCACACUAUCCACACCAUGUAUCUUGUAUUAUGUAUGUCGUAUCAUUUUUUUAGAAUUAGCUAGUGUAGUGUGUUAGUUGUAGAGAUGGAGGACCAUGUGUUCCCGCUUGCACUAAGGCUAGGUCACUUCGCCAUGUUUGACUUCUUGAUUUGUGUGGAAUAGGAAGUGAAUUAUAAUUGUGUGGCAUGGGGAAGUCUUGAGUACCCAUCGCCUUGUGGUGCAACAUUUCUGCACUUUUGAACCACUAUUGUGAGUAUAUUACAUAGAGCCUUCAGUUUUAAGUGUGGGGUCAUCUUUGACUCUCACGAUAACCUUAGGCAGAUUUCUUGAUUCAUUCUCACAUUCAUGUUUAUUGUGUUGUAGGUUGUUAUGCCUCGUGAUGGUGCUACUAUAGGAAAAGAAGUGGGGAAGUCCUCUACUACUUCUCACCCUCCAAAAAAGCGCAAGCAAGGUGAAGGGUCAUCUCGCCAAGCAAAAGGCAAGCAGGUUGCUGGCGGGUCAAGGAGGGCACCAUAGGGGCCAAGGCCCCAAUUGGAUCUGGUUCGGGAGGACGCCAUCCAGUGGUAUCACAGCUUUGAGCCAUAUGGGCGGUACGUCUCUGAAAUGGGGAUUAACAUGACCACUCUGGAGAAGAACUUCCCCGAUGUGAUAGCACGAUUGAGAGAUAUGAAGAUGGACAAGUUCCUUGAGUGCCUGGGACAUGCAAAUUUGAGCAUGGUAAGGGAGCUCUAUGCAAAUUGGAAUGAGCAUCUGUUCAUGUCGUGGUUCAAAGGAAAGGAAGUUCCAAUGGAUAGGGAUUCAUUAUGCAAAUUCUUAGGAGUUGAUUUCCCUAAAUCCAAAGAGGCUGCAAACGUUUGUCAAUUUUCCAAGCUACCAGGCCAUUUGUCACACUCUAUGUGGCGUCGAUUCUAAUGCAAAAUGGACGAGGACUAAGGGUGAUGCACAUCUUGAGAUGAUCCGAUUUGACUUCAACAAAACUGUCAAGGUGUGGCAGAACUUUGUGCAUGCCAAACUGAUGCUGGUGGAGCACAAUAGUGAGUGCACUCGAGCCCUUUAAUUUUUUUUAUCACUGGGCGACCCAUCAAUGUGGGUGAGAUCAUGUUAGGAGAGAUGGACCGCACACGGUUUGGGCUAAAAAUAAAAAGAUUCUUGUUUGGCAACUUGUUGACGUAGUACAUGCUCUCUCAUGAGGUACUUGAGUACCCCGGUUAUGAUGAGGUGGUUGAUGCACCAAAGGGAUUGAUGGACAUUACUUCCUUGUUGGAGUCUACGUCCAAGUUGAGCCAGGCUGCGCGGAAUGAGGGGGAUGAAAACUUCAACAGAUUUCUAUAUAGCUCCCUGAAUGUGAUAAUGAGUAAGUUGGGUGUGACGGAUGAGGAACGCAUGCAUAUAUGGAAUGAUCUGUCCAGUUCUUUAAAAGAAACGUUGGAAAUUGCGCCUGGCAGUCCCAUUCACCCGUUGGAGGAUGAAAACAUCCACAAGGGCUUAGAUGAUGAGGAUGAAAUUGGUGCUGAUGUCUUGGGGCCAAUGGCUUUGGUGCCCCUGGGAGCGGAUGAUGAUGAGCUUGGAGCUUCAGUUGGUGGGCAUUCUGAGGAUGAAGGAUCCGAGUAUGACCCAUGAGAGUUCUUAUUUCCACCUUACUUUGUUUUGAAUUCUUACAUGUAUCGGGGACUAUGAAUAUUAUAAGUGUGGGGUGGGGGAACUACUUUCGGUAAUAUAAUUGUAUAAAACUAUUUUUUUAUUAGUUUUUCUUUUAGAACUCAUAGUAGACAUAGUCUAGCUUCUUAAAAAAGUGAAAAUAGAGAAAAUCAGAAAAAGCUCAGACUUUUCCCUAUAAUAGAUCUCUUGGACAGAAUUUUUGAGGGAUUAAAGUCCGAUUAAAAACACCAAAAGAUUUUGUUUUUUAGGAUAGUUAGGUAUAUCCCUUGGUUUUUCUUUGGGCGCCGAUUCUUUUCCAAGUAUGUAGCUUGAACCGGGUACUUUGUUUUUAUUCUUUUUAGGAGUAUGAUAGGAAGGAAACUAAGUUGCUCUGAGGUACCUAUUGACAUGCUUGGUGCUGGCACACUAGGCUAUGGCAUGCGCUUUGUCUUCAUGUUAUAUUUGACUUGAAUUAUGAUGCCUAAGUAAUAUAAAUAGCCUACUCUGUGAUGCAUUUUCUCUGUUGUUUGACUUGUAUGUCACCUAGUGCAUUAUUGCUUAAAUUUCUCAACUGUGUGCUUGCUUGACUUGAGAGUUGAACAGAAGCAUCUUGAUUGAGUCAUGUGCAAUGUGUAUGGGAGAAUUUGUGUUAUUCUGUGCUAUCAUGUGUAGUCUAGAACAUGCCAUGUGUGUUAAUCGAAGCGAAAUCAUUAAGUUGUGCUAGUCUAGGAGAUGACGUAGGCGUUUCUUGCUUGAUCAUAGAUGUGCUUUUCACUUAUAAAUAAAAUAUUUCCCGUUGCUAGCCCCUUUGAGCCUAUAGAUAUUUUCUUUGGAACCCACAUUACAAGUUGUAUCCCUAUUUUGUCCUUAAUUUGAGCUUGUUGAACCUUUACCUCCGAAGGCACUUAGGCGCUAAAAGAAAUAAGGUGAGAGAUUAGGAAGUAGCUUUUGAGUGAGACCAUGGAAGGGCCCUUAAGGUUUGCUAAAGUUGUGAAAAAUAUCACUAGUCAAUGUACCUUAAUGUAUGGACUGUGUGUAGAAAAAAAAGGAAAGGAAAAAAAGAGAAAAGGGAAUUGCAAAAGACAAAAUAGAAAAAUAAUGUUGAUAGUCAAAAAGAUGAAAAAUACACACCUCCUAAUCAUACUAAUUCGUGCUAGUGGGGAUGUAGAAGUGCUUAAUUGAAGAAAAGGGUAUGUUGUGUAUGGUUUGUGGCGAGUGAAUUGGUUGAGAAGAAAACGUGCUCAAUUUUUUAGUGUAGUUUAUUAAAGUGCUUAGGAUGGUUAGUCACUAUUCCUAAAUGUUUCUUACCCGUCCCUUAGCCUACAUUACAACCCAUAAAGUUCUAAUUGGUCCUAGACUUGGCUAGCUUAGAUUAGUAGAGAUGUACACUAUGGGCAAGCUUAUGGUACGACCACGGGAUGCACAUGAAAUUCUUUGUGAGAGUGAGCGACUUUUUUUCAAUUAUAUGAUGUCCUUAUUUUAUGUUCAAAGUCAUAUUUGAAUGUGUGUACUAUUUCUAUAUUCACUCUCUUGUUUGUUGGUGAGGACACAUGAUCUCAUGACGGAUUGGUAAUGUUGUGAACUUCUCUUGUUGGGUGAGUGAGCGAGUUGAGGGUGCAUAGUGGUAACGAGUCGACUCUUGAAGUAGGGUGGUUGUGGAUAGGUUGUUUGAAUUGACUGAUUGAAUGUUUAUACUUGGAAAUGUUUAAAACGGGAAGAAUGUGAAUUUCGUAUGUUCAUGCUUGAUUGCCGGUAUCGAUCAUAGUCAAGGGUAGAAUGUAUGAUUAAACAUUGAAUUGCUUCCCCUUGGUUGAUGUAUACAUGAUGGGCACAGUUGAUAGUCCCAUUUCUUGAGGGCGAGCAAGAGUCUAAAUGUGAGGUGUUGAUAUUCGGCUUAAAGUAUGUAUAUUUAUAUGCAUAUUGUCUCGCAUUUUACUCAUGCUUCAUAGAUUUCGGAUAUGUAAUGCAAUGAUUUGUGCUAAUUCGUGGUAUGUUUAUGUGUAGGAAUCAUCCGGAGGCAAUGCGGGACGAAGGUGCAUGAUUUAAAGCAAAAAAGGGACAAAAUUGGAAAAAUGCCACAAAGUAGCGCCCAGGCUAGCGUGGGGCACUACCUAUGGCGCAUAAGUCAAACCUUAAAAUUUCCCAGCACCAAGGCUAGCGCCCCCAUGCUACCAUGGGUGCUGGUGAUGGGAAUUUCUCCUACCUCGACCUGGAUAAGGUUAUUUCGAUCCAAGACACCCCCAACUCGUAUAAAAGCGAGCCUAAACCUAUUUUGGCGAGAGAAAGGCCACUUUAAGAGGAAAAUACACACACGGGACACUCGGGAGCAAGGAUUCUCAGUUUUUCUUCAUCUUUAUUAGUAUUUUCAACUAUUCAACACGUGUGGAAUUGUUUUGAUUUUUAUCAUGAAUGUCUACAACCCAUCGUUAUGGGGUUGUGAUUUAGCCAUGAAUAUUGUUGUUUGAAGUUGACUUAACUUUGAUUACAAUUUGCUAAUAUAUGAUUGUUUCUUCAAUUUUAUGAUUAAUUGCUUAAUUGUCUGGCAAACAGUUAGGUUCUAUCUACUAUCUAUGCUAUGCUUGGGAAAGCUAUGUCUAGAUUAUAGAAGAGUUGAAGAAGGCAUGAUCCUAACUCUGAGUGGAGGGCGGAAUUGUGGUUAGGAUAGGAAUAUACCUAGUCACCAUGCUCAGUUGAAUAUCAUAAUCUUAAUAGAUUGAUUCCAUAGGAAUAUAGGCGUUAAUCUAUUCUGAAUAGGUGAAUAGUAAUUCCGUAGAAUACUACGAGAGCAAUUAUUCGAUUAAUUAGAAACCAUGAGCGAAUUGUAUGAAAGGGAGAGUGUUUCUCCCAAACGCACACGCAAGUAUACGUGGUUGUACAAGUAAUAAAAUGAUAAGUCGAGUGUCGAACCCACAGAGACUUGUAUCAACUACCCACUAAAAUAACCAAGAUUGUUAUUCAGUCAAUCCAAAUUCGAGUUCAAGAAUGUGGUUAUACUAAACUAUACUUCUAAGGAGUAACUAAAUUAUCAAGCAGUAAAAUGGUUGUUGUGUAUUCAGUAGAGAAAAAUAUUCCAGGGUUGUGAUCGAUUCACCAAUCCUAUUGUGUUCUAGUUAACUCUCCCUUUCAUACAAUUCACUCAUGGUUGCUAAUUAAUCGAUAAUUGCUCUCAUAGCCUUCUCCCGAAGUACUACUCGCCUAUUCAAAAUAGAUUAACGCCUAUAUUCCUAUGAAAUUAAUCUAUCAAGAACGCAUUAAGAUUACGAUAUUUAAUUAAGCACGGUGACUAGGUAUAUUCCUAUCCUAACCACAAAUCCCCCCCCCCAACGAGUUAAGAUCAUGCUCUCUUCAAUUCUUCUGUAAUCUAAACAUGGAUUUCCUAAGCAUAGCAUAGAUAGUAAAUAGAACCUAACUGAUGGCCAGACAAUUAAGCAAUUAAUCACAGAAUUGAAGAAAUAACCAUAUAUUAGUGAAUUAUAAUCAAGGUUAAGUCAACGUUAAACAACAAUAUUCAUGGCUAAAUCACAACCCCAGAACUAUGGGUUUUAUCCACUCAUGAUAAUAGCAAACAAUUUCAAAAGUAUUGGAUAAUUGAGAAUACUAAGAAAAUAUCAAUAAAAUUGAGAUCUCUUCGCUCCCGGAUGUUUCUCGUGUGUAUUCUCCCUUCAAAGUGUCGUCCCCUCUCUAAAACUAAGCUUAGUCUAGCUUUUAUACGCGUUGGGUAGGUCUAGGGCCGAAAUAACCUUGUCCCGGGCAAAGUUGGACAGAAUUCACGCCAUCAGCGCCCAGCCCAGCACUGUCCUUGGCACUGGUAAUUGAAGCUUACUGUCUCUGGCGCCACAGGUAGCGCCAGGCGCUGGCUGUGGCGCCGGAAAUUCCCUUUGUUUUUGUUUUUUCGUCCGUUUUGGCUUUAAUCUCGCACCUUUCGCCCCCAAUUGCUCCCGGAUCGUUCCUACACAUAAAAAUACCUCAAAUUAAUAUAAAUCAACACAUUUUACAUCCUAAAUCCAUGAAACAAAAGUAAAACAUGAGGCGAUAUACAUAUAAAUAUAUAUAUAUACUUUAAGACAAACAUCAGCACUCCACACUUAGACUCUUGCUCGUCCUCGAGCAAUGGCACUAUCAAAUAACCCCCCAACUACGUACAAGUUUCAACUAUACAGGAGUAAUUCAACUUCUAACCAUACAUUCUACCCUUGACUAUAAUCAAUACCGGCACACAAGCAUGAACAUACAAAAUUUCACAUUCUUCCCGUUUAAGCAUGCCCAAGUAUAACAUUUCAAUUAAAUCAAUUCCAACAACCUAUUUGUCACCACCCAACCUCAAAAGCCGACUUCUAACCACUAAGCACCCUUAAUUCACGUACUCGCCCAACAAGAAAGUUUACAACAUUACCAAUCAUUCAUGAGAUCAUGUGCACUCACCAACAAACAAAAGAGUGAAUAUAGACUAGUCCACACAUUCAAAUAUGCUUUUGAAUAUAGAUUAAGGACCUCACACAAUUGAACAAAAAUUCGCUCACUCUCACAAAGAAUUCGUAUGCAUCCCGUGGUCGUACCAUAAGCUUCCCGUAGUGUAUAUCGCUACUAAUUUAAGCUAGCCAAAUCUAGGAUCAAUUAGGACUUUAAGGUUGUAAUGUAAGCUAAAGGACGGGUAUGAUACAUUUAGAAAUAGUGACUAACCCUCCUAAGCACUUUAAUACACUACACUCACAAUUCAAACACAUAUUCUCCUCAAUCAAAUCACUUGCUACAAACUAUAUACAACAUAGCCCUUACUUUCAUUAAGCACUUCUAUACUCCCACUAGCACAAAUUAAUAAGAAUUGGAUGUGUGUAUUUUUCUUCAUACUUUAACUAUCAUUUGUUUUCUUUUCUUGCAAUUUUUCUUUUUUCUUUCUCUCUUUUUUUUCUCUUUUUUUUUUCUCUACAUACACUCCAUACAUUAAAGUUCAUCGGCCAGUGACUUUUGAUCUCAAUUUUUGUGUACCAAAGGGCCCUUCCAUGGUUCCACUCAAAAGCUCCUCUCUAAUCUCUAACCUUACUUCUGUUAGCGACUAAGUGCCUUAGGAGGUAGAGGUUCAACAAUCUCAAUUUAAGAACAAAAUAGGGGUACGGCUUGUAAUGUGGUGCCAAAUAAAAGGUCUAUAGGCUCAAAGGGGCUCGCAAUGGAAAAUUUUAUUUUUAUAUGACAAGCACAUCUUUGAUCAAGCAAGAAAACACCUACGUCAUCUCCUAGAUUAGCACAACUUAUAAUUUCGCUUUGAUUAAUACACGGGGCAAGUUCUAGACUACACAGGAUAGCACAGAAGAUCACAAAUCCUCACACACACAUUGCACAUGACUCAAUCGCAGCGGUUUUGUUCAACUCUCAAGUCAAGCAAGCACACAUAAUUGAGAAAAAUUAAGCAAUAUUGCACUAUGUGGCAUACAAGUCAAACAACUGAGACAAGGCGUCACAAAAUAGGCUAUUUACUUUACUUAGACAUCAUAAUUCAAAACAAAUACACGGGACGAUAGAAUGCAUGUCAUAGCCUAAUGUGCCAGCGCCAAACAUGUCACUAGGUAGCUCCGAGCAACUCAGUUUCUUCUUAUACUACUCCUAAAAACAAUAAAGUACCCAGUUCGAGCUACACCCUUGGAAAAGAACCGGUGCCCAAAGAAAAACCAAGGGAUACUAUCUAACUAUCCUAAAAAAAAAUCUUUUUGGUAUUUUUAAUCGGACUUUAUCCCUCAAGAAAAUUGUCCAAAAGAUCCAUCGUCGGGAAAAGUCCGAGCUUUUUCUCAUUUUCUUUUUUUUCGGUAUUUUUAUAUUUUUUUUCUUUCUAAAACAAACUAAACUAACACUAGACUCAGUAGAACUAAUAAAAAAACAAAUUAAAAUAUAUUGAUACAAGAUAUACAACUACAUCACAGGUAGUAUUCCUCCCACCCCACACUUGUAUAUGCAUAGUCCUCGAUACAUAUAAAAAUGUAAAACAGAGUAGGAUGAAAAGAAAACUCUAUGUCAGUCGGAGUCCUCCUCCUCAGCAUGCCCUCCAUCAGCAGCUUCGGGCACAUCAUCAUCCGAUCCAAGAGGCACCAAAGCCAGGGGUCCCGUAACAUCAUCAUCAACCUCAUCCUCUGUGUCUGAGUCCUUGACAGUGUUUACGUCCUCCGACGAGUGAACAGGGCUGCCUGGUGCAAUCCCCAACAUCUCCUUGGAUGAACUUGAUAAGUCAUAGCGUAAGUGCAUACGCUCCUUGUCUGUGAUACCAGCCCUGCUCAUGAGUAAAUUCAAAGAGUUAUAGAGGUACCUGUUGAAGUUCUCAUCUCGUUCGUUCCUUGCUGCCUGAGUGAGCUUAGAUGACGUCUCCAACAAUGAUGUGAUGUCCAAUAACCCUAUAGGAGCCUCCACCACCUCAUCAUAUCUUGGAUACUCCGGCACCUCCCGGGAGAGCAUAUAUUGUGUGAGUAAGUUGCCAAAGAAGAACCUCUUAAUCUGCCGCCCAAAUCUCGUGCGGUCCAUCUCACCGAGCAUAAUCUCACCCAAAUUAAUGGGUUUGCCAGUCAUCAAAAAUAAUAUGACACACACUCUAGCUCGAGUGCAGUCACUGGUGUGCUCCACUGGCAUGAGUCUGGGUUGCACAAAAUUCUGCCACACUUUGGUAAUCUUGUUAAAAUCAGAGCGAACCAUGUGAUUGUGAAUCUUGCCUUGCUUCCUGGUUCACUUGGCAUUUGAAUCCAUGCCACAAAGAGUGUGAUGUAUUAAUAUGUAUUUUGGGCUUCUGAAAAAUUUCUGGAGCCUCCUCGGGUCAGCAUUCUCAACCCCUAAAAACUUACAUAAGGCCCUCCUAUCCAAUGGCAUGUCCUUCCCACGUACAUAUGACAUAGAUGAUUUGAAAUCCCAGUUGGCGUACAAUUCCCUAACCAUGCUCAAAUUUGUAUGCCCAGGGCAUUCUAGGAGUUUGUCCAUAUUAAAUGCGAGUAAUCGGCCAAGGAUAUCCGGGAAGUUUCAUUCCAUAGCUUUGGCAUUUAUCCCCAUCUCGGAGACAUAACGCCCAUAUGGCACGAAAUCCCUGUGCCAUGCAAUAGCUGCAUCAGAUACUAGUUUCAACUGAGGCCUUGGUGGUAAUGGAGUCUGCUGUGAUGCCUCAACCACCUGUUUCCCUUUUGCUUGUCGCGAAGAGCCUUCUCCCUGCUUGCGCUUUUUGGGCGCGGGGGCAGCGGUGGAGGACUUUCCUAUUCCCUUGCCUUUGCUAGAACUAUCACGAGCCAUAAUAUCCUACAACACAAAAUAAGCAUGAAUGUGAGAACUCAUCAAGAAAUAUGCCUAAGGUUGUCGCACAAGUCACGAAUGACCCCAAACUUAAAACCGAAGGCACAAUGUACAAUACUUCACAACUUUGAUCUAAAAUGCUCAAGUGUUGCACUCCAAAGAUAUGGGUACUCAAGACUUCCCCAUGUCGUACAAUAGUUAAAAGGCACUAAUCAAUGCCACACACAAGGGAGUGAUCAUGGCUUAGUGAAUUCACCAUAAGGCAAGCAAGAGGCAUAUGUUACUAACCUUUCUACAACUACUACACUACAUGUAAUUAGCUAAAUUUACAAUAUUCGACAACAUACAUUAUAUAAGAUAGAUGGUUAGGAACAUGUUUGCAUUGAAGCCAAGCUCCCUAGCAUGUAAAGUCAUCCCACACAUCCCACACUUAGCCCAAAUUCAUACACAAAUAUACUCGGUUACUCAGACUUCACCGGUACACUAAAAUCUUCAUACAAACAUUUUAACAAACACCUUGUGGGCAUAAAGUGUGUGCAUUCUAGUUCAACAAUUGUGAAAUAUGGUGGCCCUCCCAAAUUUCAACGAAGUAGAGGGAAUUCUAAUUUACUACUUCGUAUACACAAUAACCAAACAAUUUUCUACCAAUGUGAACCACCCACCAUAAAUAUUCAUCCAAAAAAACUAAAUUAUUAUCUACCAAUAAUGUAGAUAAUUUGGGGGAUGGGAUGUACAUUAUUAUCUACCAAUUAGAACACAAAAUUAAGAAGAAGAAGAAGAAGAANANAAAANAGAANANAANAAAGANANNNNNNNNNNNNNNNNNNNNNNNNNNNNNNNNNNNNNNNNNNNNNNNNNNNNNNNNNNNNNNNNNNNNNNNNNNNNNNNNNNNNNNNNNNNNNNNNNNNNNNNNNNNNNNNNNNNNNNNNNNNNNNNNNNNNNNNNNNNNNNNNNNNNNNNNNNNNNNNNNNNNNNNNNNNNNNNNNNNNNNNNNNNNAGAGAGAGAGAGGAGUGCGUUUUCUGAUGUUUCAACUUGGGGUAUUUUGAGUUUAAUUGGGUUAUGGUUUAAGUUGAGUUGGGUAUGGGUAUGGGUAAUAAGAUGGGUUAUAAUGUUAGUGUAGAUGGGUAUAUGGGUUGGGUUUUAUGGGUAUGGGUUACUUAGUAAGCAAAAACGAAAAUAAUAAAUUAAAAAAAAUUAAAAAAAAAUACGUGGACACCCCCUAGCUCAGCGCUCAGCGCUAUGCCUGGUGCUGGGGGGUCUUGCGCAUUCUGCCUGUAGUGCCCCAGGCAGCGCUAGGCGCUGUCCUGGGCGCUAUUUUUGAUAAUAUUUUUUUUUAUAACAUCCUGAUCCCCCGAGCCUUUUAUAUACCCAAUUUACAUGUCCUACACCAUUCUACUUAUAAUUUCUAUGCCUACAAAGAAAAUGCAACUCUACUCUACUCUAACUAAAAAAAUCUAAGAAGCUAAACUAUGAAAGCAAUAAAAAUUGGGUUGCCUCCCAACAAGCGCCUGAUUUAAUGUCGCGGCACGACACAUGACCUCACUUACUCAGUAGCGAGUACAACUUUGGUCUUCUCACGAUCAAUUAUUCAUCCCCAAUAAUGCUUGACUCUUUGUCCAUUCACUAUAAAUUUUGUUUCACCAUUUAAAGCUCGCAACUCAAUUGCACUAUAAGGAGUGACUCUUACCACCUCAAAAGGGCCUGACCAUCUCGAUUUUAACUUCCCAAUAAAUAGCCUAAGUCUAGUAUUGAAAAAUAAUACAUGUUGGCCUGGCUCGAAGUGACGUGGCUUGAUACGUUUGUCAUGCCAUCUUUUAGUCUUCUCUUUAUAUAGCUUAGAAUUUUCUUAAGAGUGCAGCCUGAACCCAUCUAAUUCAUUUAACUACAGGAUUCUUUUCUCACCCGCGGCGUCAAGGUCCAUAUUCAACUUUUUAAUGGCCCAGUAUGCUUUGUGUUCAAGUUCAACAGGCAACUGACAUACCUUUCCAUAAACAAGCUUAUACGGCGCCCCAAUUGGCAUUUUGUAUGCAGUUCUAUAUGCCCACAAGGCAUCAUCUAACUUUGCAGCCCAAUCCUUCCUAUUCACACUCGCCGUCUUUUAUAAAAUUUGCUUUAUUUCUCUGUUCGACACCUCAGCUUGUCCACUCGUUUGAGGAUGAUACGCUGUCACAACUCUAUGGCGGACCCCAUAUUUAGCUAGAAGGUUAUUCAACAAUCAAUUGCAAAAGUGCAUCCCUUCAUCACUUAUCAAUUCAUGUGGAGUCCUAAACCUCGAAAAUAUAUUCUUUUUCACAAAUGCAGCUACCACCAUGGCAUCAUUUGUUGGCAAUGCGAUCACCUCUACCCAUUUUGACACGUAGUCAACUACUAGCAAAAUGUAUUUGUUUCCUCUAGACAAUGGGAAUGGUCCCAUAAAAUCUAUCCCCAUACAUCAAAAAUCUCAACCUCCAGGAUGUUAUUCAAAGGCAUCUCAUGCCUCCUAGUGAUUGUUCCUGUUCUCUGAUAUUGGUCACACUUCUUAACAAAUGCAUGGGCAUCCUUGAAUAAAGUUGGCCAAAAGAAACCGGAUUGUAUUACCUUUGCAGUUGUUCUAUCUCCUCCAUGAUGGCCCCCAUAAGGUGAUGCAUGGCAAUCAUACAAUACUAAUUCUGCCUCCUUUUCUGGAAUGCAUCUCCUCAUCAACUGAUCAGCACAUUGCUUGUACAAAUAAUGGGAGCAGCCACCAACUUCUUUUUGAGUUCUUCAAAUUCUUUAAGGCAGGCGUCAUCAAAAUUGAAAGUUACAUCUUUUUCAAGCAACCUACACAAAGGAGUAGCAAUUUUAGAAAAAUCUUUAAUAAAGCGUCGAUAGAAUCUCGCGUGUCCCAAGAAACUCCGGACACC
rnacentral:lncRNA from 1 species